rnacentral:lncRNA from 1 species
GGACAGAUUUUUUCCUGAUUUUUGGAGUCAGAAUGGUCAGAGUUGCUCCUUUGUGCUCUGACUCUUGAUGUAGAAAACAGGUUCUCAGGUGUUCAUUAUAUUAUUAUGCUUUAUAAUUAUGCUUUAUAAUGCAGGCACUGUCAUGCAGUCAAAUACUAUAGUUGAAAAGAUAAAAAAAUAAAACAUCUCAUCUCAGGAAAGACAUUUCAGGAUGAUACUGACCGGAGU